rnacentral:lncRNA from 1 species
AAGCAUAACAGAGUGUCGUCAAUAGUGUCAGGGACUGGUGCUUGUCCAUGGGAUUGGUCUCAAGUUGGGCCAGUUAUUGGUCGGCCAUUCCCUUUGUCUCUGCUCCAUCUUUGUCCCUGCAUUUCUUGACAGGACAAACUUCGGGUCAAAGUUUUGUGGAUGGGUUGGUGCCCAUCUACUGGGUCCUGCCAGGCUGGUACCAUAAAGGAGCAGACUCAAAUAAAGAAAAUCCACGCUCCGGUAUUCCAGCUGGCACCUGAGGCCGGCCGGCUGGAUGCAGCCCUGAGCAUCUGUGUCCCGUUGCCUUAUAGCCUCCUCCCAGCACAGCUGCUGAUGUCAACAAGGGCAUAAGCUCAUGGUGGCAACCAUCUCACCCGGGCCAUACAUGAAGGACAGAAACAGUGUGCUCACAGAAGAAACACUACAUGUACACACAGUGCUUUAGUCAAACACUUGGGAAGUGGAUGGCUUACACACACAACCCCAUGUGCAACUUGUCAUGCACUGGCAGUCACACUCAAAAAGGGAUCCUCUGCAGGUGAACCACUUCAGAGAAGAUAUAGCUGCUGGUAAAUGGCUUUGGUUUCCAGACACAAUUUUCCAACUUCACAUUCACAGAUAAACAAAACAGAAGUGAUGGUUUGUAUAUGCUUGGCCCAGGGAGUGACACUAUUAGGAGGUGUUGGAGUAUGUGUGUCACUGUGGGUGUGGGCUUAAGACCUUCACCCUAGCUGCCUGGAAGUCAGUAUUCUGCUAGAAGCUUUCAGAUGAAGAUGUAGAACUUUCAGCUCCUCCUGCACGAUGCCAGCCAGAAUCCCAACAUGUUCCACCUUGAUGAUAAUGGACUGAACCUCUGAACCUGUAAGCCAGCCCCAAUUAAAUGUUGUCCUUAUAAGA